CGCGCGUCCAUGACUUCACUAUUUUCAAACAUGCUUUUUGAAAGAACUUUUAUCUCACGAAAUGUGAAGCGCUGUUAGUCCUCAUGCAAAUGCAACUACUUGAUGCUCUAUGAGGCACUAAGUCUUACACAGAUCAAAGUCAUUGACCCCUCUUAAUAGUACGGCUAUCUAGCCUACUAAUCCGGUCAGGUAUCUUCUCUAAACUCCUCAAGACCGGCAAAAAUGAAACCUAUAUAUACCUUUGCCUUCAUCUGAUCCACAACCAAUGCGUAUGAUUCUUCAACAUUUCCUGUUCUAUGUGGUCCAACCCUGCAUUCUUAUUUCUCCAAGAAUCGUUAGUCCACAAGCAGUUGUCAUUAAUUACCAAAACAUUGCCAAAGGGGCCUAGAUAAUUCACAAGUUGCCAUGUGCGGAAGGUGACGAGUGAGGUAUCCGUAUCCCGGAGGCGUAGGAGUCCCUCGACUCGGUCGGCCUUGCCGCCCGAGGCUUCUCUUGCCCAGUUAAAGAAACCCUCGGCCGCUCUGCGAUGAGCCGGAGCCGGAGGCAGCGGUGUCAGCAUGAACAGAGGCGGAGUCGGCUGGAGAAGAAACUUCGUCGGCCUAGGAGCAGGUGACUUCCUAGGCCGAGGAGGCGUAGCAGCGGCGGCUGGAACCUGGCCGGGUCGUCCACUGGCGGGACCAACCCUAGAGUCGGGCUGCCGAGGCCAUGAGCCGGGCCGGUGUCCCCGAGGGACGGCUAGCUGAGGCUACGGAGCGGCUGGCCCGGCCGUCUGCUUGGGCCGGGUUCCUGGAGGUGGCCCUGGCGGCGAUGGCCCAGGCGUUGUGCUGACAUCUUUCUUCGAGGUGGAGAUCCUUCGACCGUGUCGCCGUCCGAGGCUGGGUCGGAUUCCGCCGAAGGUGGAGUCGACGCCGAGGGUGCUGCUGCCACCCCCCCUAUUGAUGUCUGAACCUGCAGGAACAGUUUAUCUGUAGUGUGCGUAUAUUUUUUGCGGCCGCUGAGGCCCAAACAUAUCGUCGUCGUGUUGUAAAGCUGCGUUUCUUUUCCCCUUGUUUCGAGUAUCAGGACUUGUUCGUCGAUAGCAGAAUCGUUUAUCCGAGCAAGAGUUACUUUUCACGGAAGGUGAUGAGUGAGGUAUCCGUAUCCCGGAGGCGUAGGAGUCCCUCGGCUCGGUUGGCCUUGCCGCUUACGUGUACUCGUACUCGUCCGUAGGAUUCUGUUAUCGAUAUAGUCAAAAAGGCACGAAAAAUCGUUUCGGCAGAAAAGCUUUCGAGCGUUAAGACUCGUUCGGCCAGCGGAAUCGCUUAUCCGAGCGUUAGUUACUUAUCGUAGAAGGUGAUGAGUGAGGUAUCCGUAUCCCGAAGGCGUAGGAGUCCCUCGGCUCGGUCGGCCUUGCCGCUUACGUGUACUCCGUCGUUUUCAG
rnacentral:lncRNA from 1 species